GGCCACCGUUGCCGUGGAGACGUAGAAUCCAUCAGUCAAAGCUCCUGCAAAGUCACUGAAGUGAUUUACUAGGGCGAAUUACCGCUGGAGGAGCCUGAAGGGGACUCUCAGCUGGGGAAGUUUAGUUCUAACAAAAAACGAGAUUAAGAGUGCUGAGUAAGAGUAACGCAGCCGGUCCUGAGGCAGCAGAACGCUGUGAAUCCCCGCCGUGAUCCCAGCAGACAGAGAGGAAGACGUCACCAGUAACACACACCGGACAGCAGAGACACUUUCAUUUCUCCACAUCAAGAAAUAAGCAACGCCCAGUUACAGUUGCACUUCCAUUGACCAUAUGAUUGCGCAAUUCAACUUUUCCUAAAUACAUUUGGUAAAUGGAAACGUGCCAAGUUUGAAAAACUGGAUUUUUGAUCAAACAUUUUGACCCUAGGAUGAGGUAUCGAUUCAUUUUGCAAAACUGCAACAGAAACCCUUUUCUC